rnacentral:rRNA from 1 species
AAGACUGACGCUCAGAUGCGAAAGCGUGGGAGCAAACAGGAUUAGAUACCCUGGUAGUCACGCCGUAAACGAUGUCUACUUGAAGGUUGUGGCCUUGAGCCGUGGCUUUCGGAGCUAACGCGUUAAGUAGACCGCCUGGGGAGUACGGUCGCAAGAUUAAAACUCAAAUGAAUUGACGGGGGCCCGCACAAGCGGUGGAGCAUGUGGUUUAAUUCGAUGCAACGCGAAGAACCUUACCUACUCUUGACAUCCACAGAAGAGACCAGAGAUGGACUUGUGCCUUCGGGAACUGUGAGACAGGUGCUGCAUGGCUGUCGUCAGCUCGUGUUGUGAAAUGUUGGGUUAAGUCCCGCAACGAGCGCAACCCUUAUCCUUGUUUGCCAGCACGUAAUGGUGGGAACUCCAGGGAGACUGCCGGUGAUAAACCGGAGGAAGGUGGGGACGACGUCAAGUCAUCAUGGCCCUUACGAGUAGGGCUACACACGUGCUACAAUGGCGUAUACAGAGGGCUGCCAACCAGCGAUGGUGAGCGAAUCCCACAAAGUACGUCGUAGUCCGGAUCGGAGUCUGCAACUCGACUCCGUGAAGUCGGAAUCGCUAGUAAUCGUGAAUCAGAAUGUCACGGUGAAUACGUUCCCGGGCCUUGUACACACCGCCCGUCACACCAUGGGAGUGGGCUGCACCAGAAGUAGAUAGCUUAACCUUCGGGAGGGCGUUUACCACGGUGUGGUUCAUGACUGGGGUGAAGUCGUAACAAGGUAAC